GGCCUUGUCUAUACGUGUAGAAACUUGGUAAUCCCAUUCGACUUUACGGCAACGUACGAUGUUCGCUACGAGGAACCUCCGGCGACAUUGCUUCAAGUCCGUCUCUCCACUCCCCAAAGUUCCCUUUAGGGGUGGUCGCUCCUCACCGACCAUCGGCGGGGCCGCCGGGGAUGCUCCGCGUGGGUGCUGUAUCCGACCAGAGCGGCGUCUACCUUUUGUUGAUCCCGGAUCUUACGCAAAUAUCGAUCUUUGAUAGAAGAGGAUUACCCUUUUAAAAAAGAAAAUUCUGAUUUCUCUGUGAGAAGGAAAAGGUAUCUGUUUGAACAGUGGAGUGAACAACCACGGAUGUUUUUGAGACCUUUCAGCGAAAUCUUAAAGGAGGAACACGAACAAGAGAGGAGGGAAGCUGAAGCCAUAAAAGUUAGACUCCGCCAGAUACAGUUGACUAAAGCUCUUUUUAGAGCUCUUAGGAAAAUGAAUCCAGCGCCUCAAUAUUGUGAAGUUUGUAUGAAGGUCGUGGAUCAUGUCCCAUGGGAGUGUCCAUACUUGAAUAGUGUCCCAGACCCUGAUACCACUCCUGUUGGCAAUGGCUAUCAAAUAUUUUGCCGUCACUGCAAUAAGUGGAAUCAUGGCCACCCCUAUGGAAGAUGGCAAGGAUAUGCAAAGAAACUGAAUUGGGAAUAUUAUUGGAAUGGUAUUGAUUAACUUCUUUAUUCAUGUCGGUCCCCAUUUUCAGUGCAGUACUUAAAUGGACAUAGAACUUUUAUGUUGAUAAGAAUCUCUAAAUGUGUCAUCUUGUUGAGAAGCUUUA